GACGAACGCUGGCGGCGUGCUUAACACAUGCAAGUCGAACGGAAAGGCCCUGCUUUUGUGGGGUGCUCGAGUGGCGAACGGGUGAGUAACACGUGAGUAACCUGCCCUUGACUUUGGGAUAACUUCAGGAAACUGGGGCUAAUACCGGAUAGGAGCUCCUGCUGCAUGGUGGGGGUUGGAAAGUUUCGGCGGUUGGGGAUGGACUCGCGGCUUAUCAGCUUGUUGGUGGGGCAGUGGCUUACCAAGGCUUUGACGGGUAGCCGGCCUGAGAGGGUGACCGGCCACAUUGGGACUGAGAUACGGCCCAGACUCCUACGGGAGGCAGCAGUGGGGAAUAUUGCACAAUGGGCGGAAGCCUGAUGCAGCAACGCCGCGUGCGGGAUGACGGCCUUCGGGUUGUAAACCGCUUUCGCCUGUGACGAAGCGUGAGUGACGGUAAUGGGUAAAGAGGCACCGGCUAACUACGUG
rnacentral:rRNA from 1 species